rnacentral:rRNA from 1 species
CCAGACUCCUACGGGAGGCAGCAGUGGGGAAUAUUGCACAAUGGGCGCAAGCCUGAUGCAGCCAUGCCGCGUGUAUGAAGAAGACCUUCGGGUUGUAAAGUACUUUCAGCGGGGAGGAAGGGAGUAAAGUUAAUACCUUUGCUCAUUGACGUUACCCGCAGAAGAAGCACCGGCUAACUCCGUGCCAGCAGCCGCGGUAAUACGGAGGGUGCAAGCGUUAAUCGGAAUUACUGGGCGUAAAGCGCACGCAGGCGGUUUGUUAAGUCAGAUGUGAAAUCCCCGGGCUCAACCUGGGAACUGCAUCUGAUACUGGCAAGCUUGAGUCUCGUAGAGGGGGGUAGAAUUCCAGGUGUAGCGGUGAAAUGCGUAGAUAUAUGGAAGAACACCAGUGGCGAAAGCGGCUCUCUGGUCUGUAACUGACGCUUAGGUUCGAAAGCGUGGGUAGCAAACAGGAUUAGAUACCCUCGUAC